ensembl:lncRNA
UAGUCUACUUGUGUAAUUACAUUUAUUUAAAUUCAAUGUUAGAAGCUCAUAUGGAUCAUGUUCUAUUCUGUAAUUAAUGUUUAUAAUAACUUACUAUUAUAAAGAAUAAAAAGGUUGUAUUUUUUUGGGUGCAACUGGCAAUCCCUUAUGAAAAUGAACCAUGGUUUUACUACACAGUGACCAUAGUAUUUGUAGAUCUGUAAAGAUAUUUUAACCAUGUGUAAACAAAAAAUAUAAUCUAAUAAACUGCGAUUGAGGCGUAUUGAAUUUAAAAUGCCUUUCAAAUAUAACACUGAACGGGUAUCAUUACCCAUUAUACUCUUAAUAAUUUAAUAAACGUAAUUAUUUAAAAGUUAAGUUUGGUUAUCGGUAUUGUUACUGACGAUACCAGACUUUGUAUCGUAUCAAAAAAUAAGUGGUAUCGUCCAGCCCUAAUUUACACUCAAGUAAGACCAGAGAUAAAACAGUGAAAAAGUAUAGUAACAUUAGUGUGAUUAAAUGUAUUUAAAUAAAUGCCUAAACAACCCAGACAGCAAGCCAACAUUGAAUAAACAUUGUUUUUCCAUCUGAAUCAUCAUUAUGGUUGAUAUUGAAAUUUCAAUGCAAAAUAAAUGUUGAAUCACCAUUACCAUAUCGAUGAAAACCUGAUGUUAUUAAUGUUGAUGGCAACAAUAUUGGAACAACAUUGAUCUAUAGUUAUCUUUAUGAUUGAUUAAGCAUUGAUAUUUGGUUACCGGGUGAUCCCUGAAUGUGUUGAAAAGUCAUUGAUUUAUAGUGGACAGAGAAACGACGCGGUUGUUGAAAAGUCAUCUAAAUAUAGUUGACCGGGAAAUAUGAUUGAAAAUGCAUCGAAAUAUAGUUGACCGGGAAAUAUGAUUGAAAAUCCAUCGAUUUUUGGUGGACCGGGAGAUCAACGGGUGGUAUACCCAACGUACUGCACCGGACACAGCUCAUUUCUAGACACAAGCGUACAGAUCACUAUUGCACACCAAAUGCUCUUACUCAACAGAUGGGGACAGCUACCGUCACCCAAUUUUCUUUCGCACAAGCUGUGCAAAAGUGGCUGCGCUAUGCGCCAGACCGGGCAGGAGGGACUGGACGACAACUUAUGCAGGCAUCAGAUGACAAUGAAGUGUAAAUUAAGAGUAGAGAGGCUAAUAAACAUGAAUUUGAUUUUAAAUAGUGUGGUGUGUUCUGUGUUUUAUACAAGAUUUCAAAUGUUCCAUUACUUUUUAACAUCCUGGCUGUAG